UGCUGUGAACUCGAAGAGUAGGGCGGGACACGUGGUAUCCUGUCUGAAUAUGGGGGGACCAUCCUCCAAGGCUAAAUACUCCUGACUGACCGAUAGUGAACCAGUACCGUGAGGGAAAGGCGAAAAGAACCCCGGCGAGGGGAGUGAAAAAGAACCUGAAACCGUGUACGUACAAGCAGUGGGAGCCUCUUUAUGGGGUGACUGCGUACCUUUUGUAUAAUGGGUCAGCGACUUAUAUUCUGUAGCAAGGUUAACCGUAUAGGGGAGCCGAAGGGAAACCGAGUCUUAACUGGGCGUUAAGUUGCAGGGUAUAGACCCGAAACCCGGUGAUCUAGCCAUGGGCAGGUUGAAGGUUGGGUAACACUAACUGGAGGACCGAACCGACUAAUGUUGAAAAAUUAGCGGAUGACCUGUGGCUGGGGGUGAAAGGCCAAUCAAACCGGGAGAUAGCUGGUUCUCCCCGAAAGCUAUUUAGGUAGCGCCUCGUGAACUCAUCUUCGGGGGUAGAGCACUGUUUCGGCUAGGGGGCCAUCCCGGCUUACCAACCCGAUGCAAACUACGAAUACCGAAGAAUGUUAUCACGGGAGACACACGGCGGGUGCUAACGUCCGUCGUGAAGAGGGAAACAACCCAGACCGCCAGCUAAGGUCCCAAAGUCAUGGUUAAGUGGGAAACGAUGUGGGAAGGCACAGACAGCCAGGAUGUUGGCUUAGAAGCAGCCAUCAUUUAAAGAAAGCGUAAUAGCUCACUGGUCGAGUCGGCCUGCGCGGAAGAUGUAACGGGGCUAAACCAUGCACCGAAGCUGCGGCAGCGACGCUUAGGCGUUGUUGGGUAGGGGAGCGUUCUGUAAGCCGUUGAAGGUGUCCUGUGAGGGGUGCUGGAGGUAUCAGAAGUGCGAAUGCUGACAUAAGUAACGAUAAAGCGGGUGAAAAGCCCGCUCGCCGGAAGACCAAGGGUUCCUGUCCAACGUUAAUCGGGGCAGGGUGAGUCGACCCCUAAGGCGAGGCCGAAAGGCGUAGUCGAUGGGAAACAGGUUAAUAUUCCUGUACUUGGUGUUACUGCGAAGGGGGGACGGAGAAGGCUAUGUCAGCCGGGCGACGGUUGUCCCGGUUUAAGCAUGUAGGCGGAGGUUCCAGGUAAAUCCGGUACCUUAUUAACGCUGAGGUGUGAUGACGAGGCACUACGGUGCUGAAGUGAUAAAUGCCCUGCUUCCAGGAAAAGCCUCUAAGCANNNNNNNNNNNNNNNNNNNNNNNNNNNNNNNNNNNNNNNNNNNNNNNNNNNNNNNNNNNNNNNNNNNNNNNNNNNNNNNNNNNNNNNNNNNNNNNNNUAUUAACGCUGAGGUGUGAUGACGAGGCACUACGGUGCUGAAGUGAUAAAUGCCCUGCUUCCAGGAAAAGCCUCUAAGCAUCAGGUAACACGAAAUCGUACCCCAAACCGACACAGGUGGUCAGGUAGAGAAUACCAAGGCGCUUGAGAGAACUCGGGUGAAGGAACUAGGCAAAAUGGUGCCGUAACUUCGGGAGAAGGCACGCUGAUAUGUAGGUGAAGCCCCUGCGGGCGGAGCUGAAAUCAGUCGAAGAUACCAGCUGGCUGCAACUGUUUAUUAAAAACACAGCACUGUGCAAACACGAAAGUGGACGUAUACGGUGUGACGCCUGCCCGGUGCCGGAAGGUUAAUUGAUGGGGUUAGCGGCAACGCGAAGCUCUUGAUCGAAGCCCCGGUAAACGGCGGCCGUAACUAUAACGGUCCUAAGGUAGCGAAAUUCCUUGUCGGGUAAGUUCCGACCUGCACGAAUGGCGUAAUGAUGGCCAGGCUGUCUCCACCCGAGACUCAGUGAAAUUGAACUCGCUGUGAAGAUGCAGUGUACCCGCGGCAAGACGGAAAGACCCCGUGAACCUUUACUAUAGCUUGACACUGAACACUGGUCCUUGAUGUGUAGGAUAGGUGGGAGGCUUUGAAGCGUGGACGCCAGUCUGCGUGGAGCCAACCUUGAAAUACCACCCUUUAAUGGCUGGUGUUCUAACGUAGACCCGUAAUCCGGGUUGCGGACAGUGUCUGGUGGGUAGUUUGACUGGGGCGGUCUCCUCCCAAAGAGUAACGGAGGAGCACGAAGGUUGGCUAAUCCUGGUCGGACAUCAGGAGGUUAGUGCAAUGGCAUAAGCCAGCUUGACUGCGAGCGUGACGGCGCGAGCAGGUGCGAAAGCAGGUCAUAGUGAUCCGGUGGUUCUGAAUGGAAGGGCCAUCGCUCAACGGAUAAAAGGUACUCCGGGGAUAACAGGCUGAUACCGCCCAAGAGUUCAUAUCGACGGCGGUGUUUGGCACCUCGAUGUCGGCUCAUCACAUCCUGGGGCUGAAGUAGGUCCCAAGGGUAUGGCUGUUCGCCAUUUAAAGUGGUACGCGAGCUGGGUUUAGAACGUCGUGAGACAGUUCGGUCCCUAUCUGCCGUGGGCGCUGGAGAAUUGAGGGGGGCUGCUCCUAGUACGAGAGGACCGGAGUGGACGCAUCACUGGUGUUCGGGUUGUCAUGCCAAUGGCACUGCCCGGUAGCUAAAUGCGGAAGAGAUAAGUGCUGAAAGCAUCUAAGCACGAAACUUGCCCCGAGAUGAGUUCUCCCUGAGACCUUGAGUCUCCUGAAGGAACGUUGAAGACGACGACGUUGAUAGGUCGGGUGUGUAAGCGCAGCGAUGCGUUGAGCUAACCGAUACUAAUGAACCGUGAGGCUUAACCUU
rnacentral:rRNA from 1 species